ensembl:lncRNA
UCCUCAACUUGUCCUUUUCUCCAAACUGUUACUGGAAGGGCACAGAGAGUUUGCUCAUUUCCUGUGAUGGAGAAAACCAGUAUAAAGGAUACACCAACCUCUGAACCUGGUGUUGGCUGAAAGAUGGGAGGAAUAUCUGGCUGUCACAGUUGACUAAUCUGAACAUCAGGAUGAAUGGGAGCUGGUGUAAGCUGGCCUUUCCAAUUAGUCCAAGAUAGAGGUACAAGAAAUGACCAUCAUCAUAGAAAGGUAGUCCCAAUUGCUCAUCUUUGAUGCUGCCGGUGAAAUAUUAGCGGAUCCUUUUCAUUUUAUGUGCAGACCAACUGUGAAGAUUGGAGCACAAUAUUCUUACCUUCUUCCAGGCUUGGGGAAUCCUAAAUGCUUAGUUGCAAAGGCAAGUACAUUUGCAAAGUAAGACUGAGACUGUUCUCACUAGUAUAA